UUAUGCAGCUUUUGCAAUGGACCUCUGCAAACAAAGUGGAGUAAAAGUCAGAUAAUAAUACAAAACCCAGAGCAGAACAAUAAUCUAAACGUGUCCAAGAGAAAUAACUUAUUGCUGGCCUUGUGUAAACAAUUGAUAUGAUGAAAAAAUGAUCUGGCUGACUGAAAGCAUUUUUAAAGUUUAUAUAGUUCGACACUUGCAGGAAAAAAUGCGAAAAUGUGAUAAUCCAUGUCUCAUCCCAGCAGGUGCAUGUGUGUCACGUUCAAGGCCAGCCCGUUAUCAGCACUUUACAGUAAACUGCCGCCUCUUUCGUGUUGUCACGCCCAGCAGCAGCUGCGGCCAGCAGGGCGUCAGCAGGACACCAAAAACAUUGCGCAUAUCUCCAGCGGUUACUGUGCAUCGGCUGUCAUCCACCGCAAGCCUCAUCGUGAGGACAAGCAAACGCGGACGUGAUGACUCACAUCUGCCAUGAGGUUGAACGAGAGCACGCAUGACCCACAUUCCACGUUGGGGGAUGAACGACCCCAAAGUUGCCAUGAUUGAUCACCGUGGUGCUGUCAGUGAUAUGAAGCUAAGUGAUAUGGCAUGAGUGGAGCAGGGGUUUUUUUUGUACAAAUUUUCGUACUAGAGUCAUAAAAUUCUAGCUGAAUGCCUGGUGUCAAUGGACGUUUAGAGUGCAUCGUGGGUGAUUCUGAUCAUAACUCUGCUUGACUGAAUACGAGAAGGUGGAGCAGAUAAUUAAUCACAAGGACUUAGAAGCUAUCAGAGGAGUAAAUGAUAUAGAUAGGCGUCAAACUAUUAUAAGGUCGCAGGUUCAAGACUAGCCAGAUAGAAAAUCAUAGCUGGUUUUAAAGAGUUGCAAAAGCUUGGAAAAUGAAAACAGAAUUUACCUUGAAAAUAAUAUUGGAUUCCCUAAAAUGAAACACGAUCACUAUUUGACCCAAAUUUGAGGAUUUUUUAAAAACCAAUAUGACUUUCCUUCCAAUGAGCAAGCCGCAAAUUUUUAUUAAGUUUCUGAUGGAUGAUGUUUUAUUGUUUAUAUAUUCUUUUAUUUAAUUACAGUUGUUAUAUUUAGGAAUCCAAUAUGUCCAAAAAGAGAAGUGUGCACAAAUCAAAGGUGGUCCAGAAUCUCGGAAAAGAUUGCAUUCAUCCUUGGAGGUUGCUCCCCACUGUAUGAUAAAUGAUUUCCUUUUAUGAAAAUUGGAGAUUUGGAGUUGUCGGAGUUGCAUGUUUACAGCUUAAGAGUGAACGUGCUGAUAAGCAAUGACUUAUUUGAGAAAAAUAUAAAAGUUGUCUUUAUUUGCAAAGUGUUUGAGGUUUUCCAAAGGUGGGUGCUACAUUUCCUUUUUGUGACUUGUCAAGGACAAGACAAAAUAAUCUAAACAAGUACACAGCGUCGUGACUCAUACUUAAGCCGAGUAAUAAUAACCAGCCGUUCCCAACAUGUCACUGGCUAUAAUAAAUGCUGUAAUCUAUUUCUAUUGAUCAUCAAACAAACAAAAUGUGUUUGUUGUAAUAAAUUCAUGCCUAUUGUGUUCAUUUGGGUCAUUGGUAAUGAUUUGUUUGAUAUGGGUUUGAUUAUGAUGGCGACGAUCAAAUCAUCAUGACAGAACACAAUUCACAACUAAAAAGUAUUUCUUUUGGCUUAAACAUGAAGCUUUAAAAAAUAAUUAUGCUGCUUUGAGGUCCCAUAAAUUAGUCCUUGGCAGUAAAGGCAUCUUCGACAGUAUUUGUUUGUUGUUCUUGUGCAACGGCUUGCAUGCUUGCAAGGAGGCGGGGGGCCGGGGUGGGGGCGUGGGGGGUGGAUCGCUCAUCUUAUAAGUAAUUAACAAGCAAUCGGCCUCACCUUGGGAAGCACAAAGCAAGUCAUGCAAUGCAUCCUGACAAGGUCACUGACUGAUAGAUGAGCCUGAGCGAGGGGGAUUUUUCAGAGGCGGUGAAGGCAGGCAGAACUGUGGGAACCAGACAAUUAGUGGGUGGAAGGUAGGCGGCCAUGUUGGACGAUGACCAUGAGGCUGCUUUACAUGGAUACUCGCCGCUUGGACGGCAGACAGCGAGAGCCGCCGCACCUGGGCUCAACAGACUCUUAAUACACAGUCAUUUAUCUUGUAGGAGGCCAAGUGGGCAAUUUGCCAUAAACAUGAAAAGAAUAACCACUACAGAGGUGCUGUUGGUAUUCCAGGGGAAUUACAGCAGCCCCUGGCGUCCCCCUGUCACUGCCAUGCUUUGGUGAGCUUCACGCCUGUCUGAUGUUGUUUUUGUUGUGGUUUUAAUUAUAAUUACAAUGUACAAUGUUAUCAAACACACUGACAACACAAAUGAUUUGUGGUCAUAGAAACUAAAACUGCGGUACAAGGGGUGAACCGGUUUACUGAUAAAAUGUGCAACAGCAUAUGGAGUAUGUGAGAAAAGUUCCAGGACCGCUGUCACAAAAGGUAUUAUUUCAAACCCAAACUAUAAACUACGAGUUUUCCACUUCAGUGUGAGUCAGAUGAUCAACCGGCACGUCUACAAGGAGAUCCUGCAGUGGCUGCUUUGUUCACUUUGUGGGAAGAGGUAACAGCUGUGGCAGGACAACUUGCAACUGCUUCACCAUGACAACGCACCUGAGCAUCCGACAGUUCCUGGGCCAGAAUGUCAUCACCAUGCUGCUCAAGGGGGUCAUCAAAAUGUGGAUGACAUCAAGAUGGCCGUGACAACGGAACAUCGGAUAAUCCAGGAAAACUCCUUCCAGGAGGGCAUGAAGUCCUUGCAUAGAAGGCUGAAAAGUUUUACGAUCAAAUGGGAAACUGACAUCAUCAAGCAGACUGCGUGACAGACGGCAAAUGACAACUGCUCUUCCGCCGAAUUGUACUUAAAGAUUUCACCAGACAUAAAUUACUGAAAACAUGGGGCUGGUGUAAUUGUCAACUAAUCCUCUGAGGACCGCACUGGUCAGGUUUCAUCGUGGUAAAGGUUAGGUUGUACAGUAAAGACAUAGCAGGAAAACUGCAGUAGUCUGUCUUUCUGGUGUGCUUUUUUUCUGUAUUUCAAUUUCUUUUCCAGUGGAAAUGUAGAGUCAAGCAAACAUGACUAAUUCUAACUGACAGGGGGAGAAACAGGAGUGUACUUCACACAAUAUAAUUUCUCUGUAGACAGCACUCUUUCAUUCUUUAGUAAUGUGAAACGGGCUUUCAUUUUGCUAUUGAAUCAUUACUUUAUAAUAAUACCUGUAAAAAUAUUGCAGCCGCUGGGCGCAUCUGAACCGUCCGAACAGUUUACAGUGAUCUGCAACUAGUUUUCAUGAAUGGCCAAAUAUGGGCCAUUAGUUUUGUGAUCAAAGGUGAACACAGUCACAAUGUUGCAGAUGUAAUGGUCAAUCAAAAACGCCAUGUUCUACAACAUGAGCUCUCACCACAAAAAUUUGAUUUUCAUUUAUGAAGCGAGAUCCAGCCAGCCACCUCAAUUACCCAAUGGAACAUGCUUUGGUUUUUUUUUUUUUGGACAUACAGUACUAGAAAAAAGUGUAAUUGCACACCCACUACAGUAGGUUGCAGUGGCACUGUCAUUUUCAGACUGUGUGCAUGGAGUAUAAACAAUAUUAAUAAAGUUAUCCAGCAGAUUUAUAUUCAUUUUUUUGUUUCCUUAAUGUUACCAAGGAUACAUUAUUUUGCAGAGAUGUACACAGCGCAAUUUUAGCGACAGAUGACCCUACUUACAGUCACGGCGGAGAGUUGG